CACUGAAGCAGGAGAAGUUUUUAAGGGCCUGCUUCCCAAAUUCUGGUAGUCACAGGCUUCCUAAAGAGUCCAUCAAACCACGGACUUAGACAUCCUUGUGCAUGACUGCCUCUCCACUAGAGAAAAAGGUUGAGUUGAUACAUCAUUCUGCACACACAGAAGCAUUCCUGCUGGCAGGAAGUGGGCUAGAAGACUGUGGCCUGGCCUGGGCCAUGCUGGACAGCCAUGCUGGAUGAUCUGAAGGCAAUCAGUGAUUUGGUCCAAGCUGAACCACGCUGCUCAAAGCCAUGCAAUCGUGCCAUCUAAUGAAGGAUGGGAGCUGGAGAUGAUUAAAGCUACUACCACACAGCACAGCUGGAGCAGGACUGAGCUCUACGGUCUGAAGGGCCUCCUUAAAAUGGUCUGUAAAUAUGUGACAGGAGUGGCAUGGCUCUAGCAAGACAUGAAGAAGCAAAGCAUCAGGGAACAAGGACAGUCACAAGAACAGUUCCAAGAGAGCAGUGGCACAAGGGAUCUUGCC